AAUAUUGCACAAUUGAGGGAACUCUGAUGCAGCGACGCCGCGUGAGCGAUGAAGGCCUUCGGUUCGUUAAGCUCUGUCCUAUGGGUCGAUAAUGACGGUAUCCUAGUAGGAAGCCUCGGCUAACUACGUGCCAUCAGCCGCGGGAAUACGUAGGGGGCUAGCGUUGUCCGGAAUUACUGGGCGUAAAGGGUACGCAGGCGGCCAUGUAAGUCAGAUGUGAAAGGUCAAGGCUCAACCGUGGUAAGCAUUUGAAACUGUGUGGCUUGAGUUAAGGAGAGGAAAGUGGAAUUCCUGGUGUAGCGGUGAAAUGCGUAGAUAUCAGGAGGAAUACCAGUGGCGAAGGCGACUUUCUGGACUUAAACUGACGCUGAGGUACGAAAGCGUGGGGAGCAAACA
rnacentral:rRNA from 1 species